GCAGCCCCGCCCCGCGAGGGAAUCCGACCGCACGACCGGCCCCCUGCAGGGCCGCGCCGGGCCACCCCUACCCCUGCCUGGUGCCGCCCCCCGCGGCGCUGACUGGGAGUCGUCGCGGUCGGGUUCCCCACCCUUCCUUACCUCGUAAACCUACAGGCCGGGGUUUCGCCUCUGUUCCUGUUCCUUGAGCAGCCUUCAAGCAGUGGAAACGAUGGAGGAAUGAGCAUUCUGAAGGCGCCUGGUAAAUCGCAAAGGCCUGGCUACUGCUGAAAGGACAGGGCAAGGCAGGCAUCUCCAGAGCACCAACUCAGGCGUGAUUGGGUUAGAAUGGUUUUCCAAAAGCUUGCAAGGCUUGAUCAUCCUUGCUUUAAUUGGCAAAGAAGUGGGCUCAAAGAGGUUAUCGCAACAUAGGAAGGGCGCCCGACCCGUAAGCAGAGAAACCGGAACUCGACCUGAAUCACUGGACUGCCAACUUCAGGCCAUUUCCAGCCUCAGUAUUUGCUUACCAGGAAGUUUUCAGGCUCUCAGGAGAGACGGGGUUUCACCGUGUUGGCCAGGAUAGUCUCGAUCUUCUGACCUCAUGAUUCACCUGCCUGGGCCUCCCAAAGUGCCGGAAUUACAAGUAUGAGCCACCGUGCCCAGCCAGCUCAGAUAAUUUUUUAAAAGCCUACCCAAGAUCUGAAUUUAAGUCUGAAUCUAGCUUAACCAAUGAAAUGACAAUUAAGAAGGAAAUUCACUUCGCCUUAAUUUUAGAGGAUAAUAGCAAUGCUGUCUGUGCACAGAUCAUAAGGAAGGUCUGUGGGUUUUGCAGAGUUACAGAAAACAGAUGAUAACAGAAAACCAACAACUGAGAAUUUAUUCAAAAUGUAAAAAGUUCUAAUUAGAGUCUGCACAAGUUAUUCCUGAACAUAUUUCAAUUUUAAUGUACAAUUCAAGAAUAUAAGAUGCAUUCUAUAAGGAAAAAGAAAAAAAUAUGACUCAAGAACAGAAACAGAGAAGCGAGAAAUCAAGACAGUGUUGGAGUUAUCUAAACUUGGUCUUCAACAGGAUUGUGUGCAAUGCCAAGGCUCAGAGUCACCUCACCAGCUUCAGGAGGUGUAUGGGUACUUCCAUCGCAAAAUGGCUCCGUCGGCACUUACACUAACAAUAUAUUGAUUUCCUGGACUUAUUCGGAUGCGUGUGAUGUUGCCGCUGUGUCCCACCCCGACACUUUGGGUCGCCCUGUCCUCUCUACUUCUGUGUACUGCCGUUGGCCUAUCAGCGACCACCAGAGGACAAUGGGAAGUGCCCUUUGCUAAAGACAGAGCACAGAACUCAAUGAGACCCCUUAAGUUGCAGCGAAAAAGAAACAGAAGAGGCUGAACUCAGAGCCAACCUGCUGCCUCCCGCACAAUGUAAUUGAUUCUUGAGGCCGCCAUUUGGAAGUGGAGCUCCCUACAGUCUGAACAGCAGAAUGUGGGGAAGGGCAUUUUAUUUUAUUUAUGUUUUAACCAUCAAUGUAUCUUUAAUUCACAAAUAAAAGCUGUAGCAAAAUGUCAUCUA